AGGCUUGAGGAGCAAACGACAAAAAAGCUUCUUUAAAGCCCCUUUUCAUACCUCUCUAGUCUCUUCCAAAUUAUCUAAAGAAACAACCAGAGGACCCAUCUCUCCAAUCGAUUACUACAGUUGCAAAAUAGAAUGGUUGGUCCAUCCAUCAACUCCCGUAACGUUCCUCUUAAAUUCCUUUGUAGUUAUGGUGGCAAGAUUAUCCCCCGUCACACCGAUGGCAAACUCCGUUACUAUGGUGGUGAAACUCGUGUCCUCUCCGUUCAUCGUUGCAUUUCUUUUGCAGAGCUAAUGGUGAAGCUAGGGGAGAUGUGUGGAGCAUCAGUGAGUUUAAGGUGUCAACUGCCAAGUGAAGAUUUAGAUGCUCUUGUGUCUAUCACAUGUGAUGAAGAUCUAGCCAAUCUCAUUGAAGAAUAUGAUCAUGCUGCAACUCCAUCGUCAUCUCUCAAGAUCAGAGCUUUUUUAUUACCACCCAAAUCUACAAAAUUAAAACUUGUAUCUCCUCCACCUUCCAUUUCUUCCACCUCAUCCACCAACACCACCAUUAGCAAUCAUGAUGCCACGUCACCGGAGUCGUCAUUUUGUUCCACAUCUGCUAGUACUUCUACUAUCCUCAACUCAUCAAAAUAUAAAAAUUGUCCAAGAUCAUAUAAAGAAACAUCAUAUUCGUGCGUCCGUCAUACUAGAACAAGAUCAUUACCGCUCAUGUGUCACGAGAAAGUUGCCGGAAAAAUUCCUCAAUAUGUUUACCAUGGUCAUGGGAAUAACAGUGGCCAUAUUUACUUGAUUCACCAUGGCCACCACUGGCAAUAAUAGCAGCUAUUUUCCACGGACAAGGGAGAGAGCAAAUGGGACUACUCGGAACAUAUAUACUUUUAUAAAUAAAUAAAUAAAAAGAAGAACAGAGGAUGGAAGAAUAUAUAAUAUAUUUGAUGUAUGAAGAGUGUUUGUCAUUAACAGGAUUGAUAUAUAUUUUUGUGUCAAUCCGUUCUUAGCAAAUUCAAUAGAAAUAUAAAUGAGUCCCAAUUUUUUGAUAUAUAGUACUGUGUACCGCGGAUUAAUUACCUCACCUCUUUAUGUGAUUGAUGCGUUCGACGUUUAAUCUCUUUUUCGUUUUUUCUUUUAUCUUCUAGACAUUUUUCCCAUUGCCAAAUCCUAGAAGUGAUCGAGUCAUCAUGUGUAUAGGAUGAAAAGCAAUUAACGGGGAAUUUCUAGUGACCUUAAGAUGGAUAUUAAAUGCCGCACAUAUAUAGGUGAUUAUCUGAAAUGUUUCUCCAAGUUCAUUUUACAAAUUCGAUACAAAUUAUAUUAUUGUUAUGUCUAUAAAAUCUUCGUUAUAUUUACAUAAUUAACUAUUCCAUGUAGCUGCUAAAUCAUUGCCAUGAAAGGCAGAGUUCUAUAACUUCUAUAGCUAACAAUGUAAAAAUAUUUACAUUAUUGGGUCAUUCCCCUGCAUCCA